AUAAGGGAUUUAUUAUGGGAAUUUGACUUUAUGCAAUCAUGGGAGCUGGUUAUAGAGUCUAUGUGAGGCUGUUACUUCUUUUUCUGGGGCUAGGGACUGAAAUCCCCUGGAAAGGCAGUCGAGAAGGAAAGAUGGAUAUGAAGUGGGGAAGCAAGGACGAACCAGGAUCCAGGAGGAAGAGCGAGAAUGAGCUGGAAACGGCCUCCAUCUCACACCCCCUUCAAGCCUCUAACGUCACUGAUUUUCUAAAGAAAGGAACAAGAAAGAGGGAUGGGGGGCUUCCCUGGUGGCGCAGUUGUUGGGAGUCUGCCUGCCAAUGCAGGGUACACGGGUUCGAGCCCUGGUCUGGGAAGAUCCCACAUGCCGCGGAGCAACUAAGCCCGUGAGCCACAACUACUGAGCUUGCGCGUCUGGAGCCUGUGCUCCGCAACGGGAGAGGCCGCGACAGUGAGAGGCCCACGCACCGCGAUGAAGAGUGGCCCCCGCUCGCUGCAACUGGAGAAAGCCCUCGCACAGAAACGAAGACCCAACACAGCCAAAAAUAAAUAAAUUAAUUAAUUAAUUAAAAAA